rnacentral:rRNA from 1 species
CUUAACACAUGCAAGUCGAACGGAAAGGCCCUUCGGGGUACUCGAGUGGCGAACGGGUGAGUAACACGUGGGUGAUCUGCCCUGCACUUUGGGAUAAGCCUGGGAAACUGGGUCUAAUACCGAAUACACCUCGCUGGUUGCAUGACCUGGUGGGGGAAAGCUUUUGCGGUGUGGGAUGGGCCCGCGGCCUAUCAGCUUGUUGGUGAGGUUACGGCUCACCAAGGCGACGACGGGUAGCCGGCCUGAGAGGGUGUCCGGCCACACUGGGACUGAGAUACGGCCCAGACUCCUACGGGAGGCAGCAGUGGGGAAUAUUGCACAAUGGGCGCAAGCCUGAUGCAGCGACGCCGCGUGAGGGAUGACGGCCUUCGGGUUGUAAACCUCUUUCGCCAGGGACGAAGCGCAAGUGACGGUACCUGGAGAAGAAGCACCGGCCAACUACGUGCCAGCAGCCGCGGUAAUACGUAGGGUGCGAGCGUUGUCCGGAAUUACUGGGCGUAAAGAGCUCGUAGGUGGUUUGUCGCGUUGUUCGUGAAAACUCACAGCUUAACUGUGGGCGUGCGGGCGAUACGGGCAGACUGGAGUACUGCAGGGGAGACUGGAAUU